GUGCACGGGGCACAGAUCUCCUGGCCUUGGCCUCUCCCAGUAAUAUUUUCUGCAAAGAAUGACACUUGAGUUCUUAAAAUAGAAGAGUGGCUGGGAAUAAAAGUGUUGAAGAAGCAGGGAGCCAGUCUGACACUCCAACCUCUCCUUCUGGCUCUUGCACAGCCUGUGCACACAAUGGGGAAACUGCUGGUUACUGAGACAUGCAGUACGACUAAAAAGCUUUUAGGCCAGUCUUGCAUUCCUGCUCACCUAAUUCGAACGAUGACCCAGUGCAACCAGUAACAGUGAACGAAGUGUGCUUUGUAAGCAGUCAACACUUCCUUUUCUGAGCCCAGUCGAGAUCCACUUGCCAUUUACCUGCUGAGAAACAUGGCAUUCCCCUUCCUGAUUUCUGCUGACUGUCUCUGUUUUGCAAAUUAAAUCUCAAAAGUACUCUUUGC